UGUGUGUGUGUGUGUGUGUGUGUGUGUGUGUGUGUGUGUGUGUGUGUGUGUGUGUGUGUGUGUGUGUGUGUGUGUGUGUGUGUGUGUGUGUGUGUGUGUGUGUGUGUGUGUGUGUGUGUGUGUGUGUGUGUGUGUGUGUGUGUGUGUGUGUGUGUGUGUGUGUGUGUGUGUGUGUGUGUGUGUGUGUGGUUGCUAUCUUCUCUCUCUCUCUCUCUCUCUCUCUCUCUCUCUCUCUCUCUCUCUCUCUCCAUGGGUCGAGAAACGCGCUUCAUCGAUUCACGAUGGAACGGUUUAUGGUGACCGAUCGAUGGUUGGAUUCUGAUGCUCGUUUCCCUGUAAUUGGAUUUAAGAGAAGAGUUUGAAGGAAGGAAAGUGUGGGAAGAAUACGGUUGGAUAAGUGUUUGUGAAUGGGAAUGCGCGUAACAAGUGAAGUUUAAAUUGUUCGAUCGUUGAAAUCGAUUAAUAAUAAGAUCGCUUCUCUCGUACGUUCCGUGUAAAAUAAAAAUUUGAUUGAGAAAAAUGGAAGGAGUGUCUUGGUGUCGCGCGAGAAGGGCAAGAGAGAGGGUUCCCUCUCGCGGGAGAAGCUCGAAAGGAAGUUCAAUAUAAGCACAGUAUCAAUUGCACGUUGUCAUCCUAUCUAACACGCGUUUGCACAGUGUCUGAUGAGCCCCUCCGUCGUGUUCAUUCCGAAUCAAACGCGAUGUACGCUCCGGAUAAAUUCCAGCCUGUUAUCGAGCUAAACAGUUGUUUAGUCUUGUCUCGAAGGGAGGCGAUAAACGCGUUGUCGAGACCGACACCCGACACCCGCAUUCCUCAUCGAUUCUUCCUCCCACGAAUCUCGUGCGCCUCCAAUUUACAAUCUUGUGUAUAUAUCUAAGUGCAUACAAAUGUCGGGCAAUUUCCAAGGUCUGAUCGAUUAAUUUUCCUAUUCCCGGGUCGUAGAGACAGAUUUUCAACAUGCAUCACGAAACCACGGUUCGUAAAGAUUCGAUUAUUUCUAUAAAUAAAGGGAACGAGCUUCUUUAAAGAGAAAGCUCGAGGGCUUUCGAACGAGAACCACUUCAGAAUUGAUCUUGCAACCGUCGUUUAACCGCUUUCCAACCACGAAGAUAUUCCGCGAUGUAGUUUAUGCGAGAGCGAACGUUGCACGAGCGAUUGAAAUAAAGAUCGAUUCGAAUUUACGCUCGCUAUAUAUAUAUAUAAUAGUAUAUUUUGAGGACAGGAUUAAUAACUCGUCAUAAUAAACAAACUCGCGAGUCACUCGACGUCGCGUGAAUGUUCGUUUCGUGGAAUUUCUCCUUGCGCUGUGUAUAUAAACACAUACCGUAUACGAUGUUUUGGAACACUUCGUUCGUAACCGCGAAGCUAUUAACACGCUUCGCGACGGUAACUGCGUUCCAAUAUUCUUUCUACGCGACGUUUCUUCAUAUAUAUUUUCACGCGGAUGGCAAAAGUGCGUUUCAUUUUUAUUAUUCGCGCGAAUAAAGUGGCACGCGCUCCAUUAUUUUUUUUGUAUAAAAAUUGCCAAUAUUAAAAUAAAAUAUCGGUAAAAGUAUAAUAAUAUCGAUUGUAUCAAAGUCCAUUGACGCAUGGAUAUCGUCGGUGUACGAAGUAACUCUACGAUUCGCACGACAUAUGAAAAGCGGUGGCGUAAAAAGGAACUAAAGUCAGAGUUGGGCAUGAACCGGUUGGAAAAGUAACGAAGUUAAAAACAACAUUUAUUUAUUCGUACCUAUUAUACAUCGAUCCGUUUCGCCACAAUUAUCCGCGAUUAUUAUUACGUUUUGAAGAACGUAUCAUCGAAAUAACUUAUCCAAGUAACUUCAACUAUUAAAUUUUCUCCAUCGUACGACUGUAAGAAUCAACUGUCACUACGUAUAUCUUCCGUAUAAAGAAUUUACGCAUGGUCGAAAGAAGAUUAUCGGAGAAAAGAGAUUUUCCAUUUUUCCAUUCGAUCGAUAUCCUUCCGUGCGGAAUUCAAACCACACGAUUCGAUCGAUUUACCUGGUCGUUUUUCUUCCCGCAAAGUACGACCUACUUUCGAUACCCGCGAAUCAAUUGCGCUUCAACGACACGAAGAAUCCUGGUGAAUCCUGAAGGACGUAUCGACAGGACACGGCCGAUCUUUCUGGUUAAUUAUUAUAUCUGUCUCGAUCGUGGACGCGAUCCUGUCAGUUCCACGCUUCUCUCUUUCCAUCCCUAUCUAUAUUAAUUCUCUAUACUUGGAAAAAUGAGAUUGGAAAAGCGAGAAGAUUCGAGCUUAAGGGGUACGGAGUCGAGGGCCGAAUUGGGUCGAGAGUUACGGCUAAUUGUUUAAUCUUGAGGGCGGGUGAAUCUGACGCUCGAGAGACACGAGAUGUGUUUAAAUAUUGGUUUGAUCGGAAUAGAUCAAGUUGUUUAAAUCGUGUCGCGCGCAAAUGAGGAAAAAUUACGACUUCGCGGAGGAAGAGAAGGAGGAGGAGGAGGAAAUAGUUUUUAUUCUCGGAACAAAUUUUCUCUCUUUUCCCCCCUCCCUUAGAGCCUCUGGGAGGGUAAUAUCUUCUCUUGUGCAGGGGAUGGGCAAAUUAGGUUAAUUUUUUCGCGCUACCAGGUAAAAAAAAAAAAUACCUGGAUAGAAUUUUAUUAAAAAACCAAGUGGUUUCUCCACGUACAUCGUAAUUAAUUAUCGAUAGCACGCGGAAUAAUGGAUAUUCGAUGCGCGUGCAUACGAGAUAAAUCCCCACCCCCCUCCAGCAUUAUUCCUACAUUUUCAGAAUAUCUAUUUCAAUUCGUAGAUAUUUCACGAUACUUGCAAUAUCGAAUUUGAAAUUUCGACAGUUGUUAUUGGAGAGGAGCGUUCAUUUAAAAUAUGAGCCGGGGAUUUCGGGCGUGUCCUUGGAGCGUUCGUAGCCUUAAUUAGUUCCCGCUUAAUCUUGCAUGGGAACGCGGGCGUGCGAAAACCGAUUUAAAAUCGGCGCCCCGAUUUUAUUAACACGGAAAAACUGAUUCGACUCUCUCUCUCUACGCGCGAACGAACUUUUCCUCGAGAGGAGAGGAGAAAUUUUGAAAAUGGAACAAUUAUUCUCGGACAAUUGUCAUCGAAAGUGUUGCAACGAUGUAACACGCUUGGAAGAGUGUUCUCACUCGGAUCGACACCUGUACAAACAAUUCUAUGUUUGUCCCCGUGUUAUCUACCCUAAAUCCGCUUCCCCUUCGCCUCGACUUUUAUCGGUACGUAAAAAUUAACGAAAUAAUUGAAACUUUCUCUCUUUCUCCAUCGAAUUAAUUCUCCUAUUUUAUUGUCCCAGUUUGUACGUAUACAGUAACAAUCGACAGUAACGACAAUCGAUGCUCACCAGCGGUGCUUUUUAAACAGUUUUAAGCGAGGAGUCGCCCGUUUCAGGAACCCGUUUCCGUUAUCGUACGUAUGCAUAUUCAUUAGCAUAUUCUCUCCCUCUCUCUCUUUCUCUCUCUUCCACCGAGAGAACUUUCAAACCAAUUUUAUUUUUAUUCUGUUUUUACACUUAUAAUUCUUGCUGUUAGAAGAUAUCCAUUAUCACAAAUCUCGCAGUGUCCAGCAGGACUCGGAUGACGAAGAGAUUCGAAUGCUUUGCGAACGAUUGAAACAAGGAUUUGGAAUAUUUUUAAACACGAUACGAUAAAUAUUUUCGAUUAAAAACAGAUAUUCGGUGGACGAAUAUUUAUUUAUUUGGAAAAUUAUCCAACUUAUCUUCCAUCGGAGAGGAGGGAACGAAUCCACUUUGUGAUUAAAACUGAUUAAAACCGUAUAUUCCCGGAGAAAUUGCGAAAAGAGAGAGAGGGGGGUGGUGUCAUCGUGGCGAUUGUAGGGCAGCCAAGGCACACGUCCCUCCUGGGACGUUCAUCCUCCCUGCAAAGGGGGUCUACCUGUGAAUCCGUCCUGACGUGCAAAAAAAAAAAAAAUCUAAUACGCCAGACGCCUUCUCGGGCCUCGGGCGACGUUGCCCUACAUUCCCCCGCACGAAAAACUUUUUCCACCACCGUGGACGGCCGUGGAUGGAGGAUACAUUCGAUGAAGCUUUUAGGCCGCCAUUUGUAUCGAAAAAGUCAUCGAUACAAAUAUAUAUAUGUAUGUAUAUAUAUAUACAAAUAUAUAUAUGUAUGUAUGUGUGUGUGUGUGUGUGUAUAUUUAUAAUUCCUCGUAUCUCGACGUUUCGAACACUCCAACCCCGUUUUUUUUUUUUUUUUUAAUUUUAAUUUUCGCGAAGUAGCAGUAAAAAAAAAUAGUAGCACUCUCGCGUAUAGUUAUCAUACAAGUUAUUUGAGUUAUAUAUUCAAAUAUUUUCCAAAUCGAUUUUUUUUUUUUUUAAAUAUAAGAGGAGAAUAUAUUCGAAAAUAAAAAAGGGAGAUUUUUUCGAACAAUUUCGAAUUAUCUCGUAUGCUUUAUAUCUCUGUUUUAUUAAGGGGGAUCGAUGAAUCAUCGAUUCGAGUCGAACGAAAUUUUUCACCCCCCUGGUGAGAUAGUUUCGAAGUUUCCUUCCUACCUUCCGCCCGGAUUUGUUCGAUAUUCCAGGGUGAAAAAGAGUGGACGCGAUUCCGGUCGACGUUGAUCUAUGACCCGACGGUAUAUCGGGGGCUUGUUUCAUCCUUCCCCGCCCCUCCCUCCCCUUGCGGUGACCGCGGAAUUUUCGAAAGUUCGUUUACACACAACUGCCGUUGGCGGGAUUUUCGUAAAUUUCUUCCCCGCUUUGUGACCGCCCCUCCAAAAUUCGUCUAUAUUUCAUCGGCACGGGCCGACUUUCCGCGCGCAUGCGCACGCAUCCGCUCGAGCGUCGAAGGGGAAAUUAAGGAUCGGGGAAGAGUCGAUCGAAAUUGGAAAAUUGAAAUCUUUUGAAAUUGAAUUGGAAAUCGUUGUAAAUAUUCCUUUUUUCCUCGCCCGGAGAUCGGAAUGUUAAUAUGAGGAUUUUGAUAUUGAUUCGAAAAGUAAAUCGUAUCGUAUAUUAAUCUUCGAAAUUAAAUUAAGAAAUGGUGCCAAAUUUUACGAAAUUUGUAAAAUAGUUUGUAAAAUUUGUGGAAUAAUUUGUAAAAUUUUUUUCAACAAUUUAGGAGAUCGAAAUCUUGCUACAAGGAUUUUAUAUUGAUUCGAAACAUAAAUCGUAUCGAUCAAUCUCGAAAUCUUCGAAAUUUAAUUAUGAAAUCGUGAAAUCGUGAAAUUUUACAAAAUUUAAAAAAUUUUUUUUCUUCGUUAGGAGACCAAAAUCUUAUAAGAAUUUUAUAUUGAUUCGAAAAAUAAAUCGUAUCGAUCUAUCUCGAAAUUUCCGAAAUUAAAUCAAGAAAUCGUGCCAAAUUUUACAAAAUUUGUAAAAUAAUUUGUAAAAUUUGUAAAAUAAUUUGUAAAAUUUUUUUCAAAAAUUUAGGAGAUUGAAAUCUUGCUAUAAAGAUUUUAUAUUGAUUUGAAAAGUAAAUCGUAUCGAUCUAUCUCGAAAUCUCCGAAAUUUACAAAAAUUUAUAAUACAAAUUUUGUAAAAUAAUUUGUAAAAUUUUUUUCUUCGUUAGGAGAUCGAAACUUGUUACAAGGAUUUUAUAUUGAUUCGAAAAGAAUCGUAUCGAUCUAUCUCGAAAUUUCCGAAAUUGAAUUAAGAAAUUAUGCCAAAUUUUACAAAAUUUGUAAAAUAAUUUGUAAAAUUUUUUCAAAAAUUUAGAAGAUCGAAAUCUUGCUACAAGGAUUUUAUAUUGAUUCGAAAAAUAAAUCGUAUCGAUCAAUCUCGAAAUCUCCGAAAUCGAAUUAUGAAAUCGUGGCAAAUUUUAUAAAAUUUAAAAAAUUCUUUUUCUUCACUAAGAGAUCGAAAUCUUCCCAUAUAUAUACACACACGAGGAUUUUAUGAUAAUUCGAUGAAAAUGAAUCGUAUCGAUCAAUCACGAUUUCGAAGCGACGACACUUCCAAACUAACUCUUAACUCAAUCUUUUCUUCUCGCCAAAUUUAAAACACAAUUUUUCCACUUACUCAAAUCAAAUUUUUCUUCUCUACUUUACUUUAAGAAAAAUCGGGAGAGAAAGAGAGACGAAGGGGAGUAGAUAAAACACAGUAUAUCGACGCGGAAUAAAAAUUCGAGGAUCACGAUACCGACAAUACCGAUCGAGAUGGGAGGAGAGAGAUGAAAGAAACGUAGAGGGCGCUGGUGCGUUCCAGGGCACGCGUUUAACAUUCCUGCUUUGAAUACGUAAUUUUCCAACGGGGGAGAAGGAGGGAACAAUGCACGCGUGGUUUUAUCCCGACUUGUUGACACGCGUCUGCCCCCCCAAAGACGCCAUCGCCACGAGUGAUGAAGACGGCGAUGGCGAAUUUCGACAGGCGAAAAGAAAGAGAGGAAUGGACAAUUUAUCCUCGUCGAUAAUCCAUUCCAUUUCGAACGACUUCUCUCGUCAAUGUUUUCCAGCCAAGAGCAACUUGUUCUGAACGAAUAUCGAACUCGAGAAAUCGAUCCUCCGGAAGCGUUGUGCACGAAGAAUCCGCAGAAUCAUUGAAAAGUAGUGAAGCGAGAUCAGAUCAAUGUAAAAAGAGAGAGAGAGAGAAAAAAAAGGAAGAAAGAGCGUCUAAAUAAGUCCAUUUACGGAGUUCCUCCAAUGGCUAUCCACCACCGCCAAACUUUCCACCAAACUCGGGUUUGGACUCGCUUUGAAUUUUUCUCGAAUCGAACUUCUUUCGAGGCCCUGCCUAAACUAGAUCUACUUUUCUAGAUUCUAUUGGACAGCGAGCGAGCUCUGUGUGCGACUAUUGGAUCUCCCCCCACCUCUCCCCUCCCCUCCCCGUCUAUUCAAGUCUCAAGUGUUUCUAGGAUUGCUCGUGGUGGAAACUCGGGCUAUCGCCGCGGCGGUGAAGAGUCUCUGCCCCUCCCCCUCCCUCUUUUGGAGGCUUUCUUCUCUCGAGAUGUUGUCCACUUUGAGAAUUUUAGAGAAAUUAAGGCGAAAGGAUCGCGCAAGGUUCACGAGGCGCCCCUCUCUCCCCCUCCUCUUCUUCCAAAAAAAUGAGAAAAUGGAGGGAAUCUUGAGAGCCUUGGGAUAAAAAUAUCGAAACUUGUUUUGGAUUUCGAAAGGGGAGGGAGAGAGAGAGAGAAGGAGAGUAAAUGAAAAAUUGAGACGAAAUAAUAGAGGAAAAAGAAUCUUCUCUCUUUCGAAAAAAAAAAAAAUUUGGAAAAGAUAAUACAAAGAAGACCUCAAAAACUGGAGGGAGGGGGACAAGGAAAGAGAACCAAGGAGUUUCUUAAAAAAAAGUGAGGUAGAGAGAGGAGAAUAAUUCUUUAAAAUAUACAAAAAUUGUUCAUAAUAAAAAAUUGUGAACUCUUUUGUAAUCAUUCUAUAAAGAAAUUUGCAAAUAUUUAUUGUAUUUAUUGUGUUUUAAAUUAUUAUAGAAUUAUUUUUUAUGAUAAAAAAUGAGAACUAAAUUAUUCAGAAGCAAUUCCGAUGAGAUAUUUUUAUUUUUAUGAAAGAAAAUAAUGAAACGAAUGAAGGAAGCGCAUAGAUUUGUGAUCCAUUUAUGAGUUCGAGUCUCCAGGUUAAAUCUGUUAAACGACGAAUUACUUCGAAAAAUAUAUCUACGUCUUUUAGAAUUUCAAAUUACGCUUUGCUUCGUCUCGAAAACAAUUCCAAGUUUGUAGAUCUAACCUCAAAAAUCGCAUUUUCCAUUCCUUCUUGUCGAGAUAAUUCAAAAUUCUGUAGAUCUAACCUCAAAAAUCGCACUUUCCAUUCCUUCUUGUCGAGAUAAUUCAAAAUUCUGUAGAUCUAACCUCAAAAAUCGCACUUUCCAUUCCUUCUUGUCGAGAUAAUUCAAAGUCUGUAGACCUAACCUCAAAAAUCAUAUUUUCCAUUCCUUCUUGUCGAGAUAAUUCAAAGUCUGUAGACCUAACCUCAAAAAUCAUAUUUUCUAUUCUUUCAUUUCAAAAUAAUUCAAAGUCUAUAAAUUUAACUUCAAAAAUCAUAUUUUCCAUUCCUUCGUUUCGAAAUAAUUCAAAGUCUGUAGACCUAACCUCAAAAAUCAUAUUUUCUAUUCUUCCAUUUCGAAAUAAUUCAAAGUCUGUAAAUUUAACUUCAAAAAUCAUAUUUUCCAUUCCUUCGUUUCGAAAUAAUUCAAAGUUUGUAGAUCUAACCUCAAAAAUUGUAUUUUCUAUUCCUUCGUUUCGAAAUAAUUCAAAGUCUGUUGAUCUAACCUCAAAAAUCGCAUUUUCCAUUCCUUCUUGUGGAGAUAAUUCAAAAUUCUGUAGACCUAACCUCAAAAAUCGUAUUUUCUAUUCCUUCGUUUCGAAAUAAUUCAAAUCUUAUUAAAAAAAAUCGUAGCUUUUUAUUAUUAUAUAUGUAUAAAAAAAAAAUAUAUAUAUAUAUAUAUAUUAUCAUAGUAUAACAAAAUUAUCUUAUUACGAUCCGAGAUUCUAUUAUUAUUUCCUCGAUCAAUAAUUCAAAUAAUUAUAAAUCUCAUAAUUACGAGCUCACAAUUAUACACCAUCGUAAUAAUUCUGCUUAAACGAAAUAUUUAAAUUAGAUUCUAUUCUUCGCCUUUCUUUACGAAUCCUAUAUUAUUACAACUAACACGAUCUCCGCUAACUAAUUUCCUUCGAACAAACCCUUAUUUACACACACGCAAGAGUAAAAAAAAAAGGAACGGAAGAAAAGGAUAAACAAUCGCCAGGAUGGAAUUUUAUUCAAGGAUCAAAAAAAAAAAAAAAGAA